GUCAAACUGCUUUCGACUGUAUAAAGACUAAAAAUGUUCCCAAACCAAAUAAAGACAACACUGAAAGUCUUCCAGAAAAACAUCUCUAAUGAUGAAAGCUCUUUGUACUUUGACCUUUUAUGCCAAGACUUCUAUCAGGAACUUUUGGCAGGUACCUUGAGUCAUGUGAUGACGACUGAGGAUGACAGAACGUUCUCAGCAGCAGCUCCAGAACUGUGGAACGAUCUGUCCUCUAGUUUACGGUCACAUGAACAACAACCGGAUGUUGCCCCUGGAGCAAAACACAAAGAGGACGUAGUUGGAGGAUGAUGACACGGCAUGUUUUCCAAUGACUUCUCGCGUGAACAAAACUUCUCCACGUCUGAAUUGUGUUUCUUACUUUACAUAAAUGUCAUUUGCGAAUCUGUGUUUUUUUCAACAUUAGGGGAAGAUGAACAAAGUUGUAAACAAACUGUUGACACACCUGCAACAGGCAGAGAGCACUGCAUUUAGCAAAGAUUUACAUCAAGACUUUGACUAGGGCAUUGUAACACAUGAAUGGGAUUCAUCUAAAUCGCUCCAUUUUAGCUCUGUCACAGUGUUUAUUUUUUGCUGCCUUACUAGAAGGUGAAUCUCACACCAAUUCUAAAGUUUUUAGUUUAUUGUAUCUCCACUGAAUUGAGCAGGUUCCUCUUUGCUGCUGACGCCCUCUGGCAUGGUGCCACUACCAUCGGCCACUGUGAGAUUGAUCUGAUUGGGGUGAUGCACUGUUUUUUUCUACCAGACACAGCAGACACAGUUCAGAAGGUUCAGUUUUAGUCUCAUCUCACCAGACCACCAAAGCAGACGGAGGAAAUGUUUGCUGCAUCCCGUACAUGCCUCGUGGCAAACUGCAAUUGGAAGCCCAUGUGGGGUUAUGAACAGGCAUUGUAUGUAGGCAUCAGAUUCAGAGGCCAACAAAGACGAAGCAGAGCCAGCCCCGAAAAAGUCUCACUUUCUGCAGAACAUGAUUCCAGAAACAACAGGGAGAUGUGACAUUUGCUUUGUCGACAGUUGGAGAUCUCAUGAUUUUAGUGUCACAUUUGUUUUGCAGAGCUCAUAUUGUCUGCAGUGGCAUUGUGUUGUUGUCCCGGAAGAUUGCCUUAACUCUUAUACCUUCCACCUCCUACGCGGUUCAUUGUUCACACUUCCACAAAGUCGCACGACAUGUCCUUGGGGUAAUGUUGUUGUAUGUGACAACACAAUGCCAUUCCAGAUUUGAGUGAUGCUCAGCUGCUCUUAACAGACACUGAACCAGAUCAAACUCAGGACCUUAGGUCUCGUAUCCAUCUGUCAUGCAUACCACACACAGGCAUGCAUAUAGAAUUAAAACACUCAAAAAUGUGUUUUGUUUACAAGAAAUAUGAGUCAAGACUGGCUAUUUUCUUACAGUCUAACAAGGUAUUACCAUUUUAAGCUUUAGUUCUGUGCAUAAUACAAAUUUAUUUUUUUAGUUAGCCACUGAUAAGUGAUAACAUCACAGUGUGGACUGCAUUUGAUUCUGUUAAGUUUAAAAUUUAUAAAACUUAAAUACUUAGUCCAACCUGAAUUGGAUGAUACUUUACAGAACAGAUUUUUAAAAACACACGUUGUGAUUUUGUAAAACGUUCAUUCUAUUUGUAAAACCCCAAAAAGGGAAUGUCAAAUCCUUUCUAGGCCAAAGAAAACUGAAGGAAAAUGGUGAGUCUUAAAAUAAUGCUAAAAUCUAGUCACUUUCUCAUGAAACUCGGUAUUGUUUAUCGUCUCAUUUUUAUGUAAUGAAGUACAUUCUGCAGUAAAAAUAAUGUCAGCUCUUUAUGUGGAUUUUUGACCUUUCUUCCAAAACUGUUUGUGAGGUCAAACACUGAUGUUGGAUGAACAUGCAUGAUUCUCUCUCUGUUUUAACAGACCCCAAAGGUGUUCUAUUGAGUUGGGGUCAAGUUUCACCACACCCAAUUCUCCAAUCAGUUGAACUAAGGGGUUAAACGCAACUUCUAAAAAAAAACGUUCAACACCUUACACCACUUUGAACCAAACUCUACAUUUGAUGCAAUGCAUCCAGACAAAUGCUGGUCUCCUGGUGACUGCCAAACCAGUCCAAGAGACAUGAGUCUUUACUCCAAACAGGACGUUUCUACUGCUUUUGUUUGCAAUGAA